AUGGGCACCAGCCUCCUGUGCUGUGUGGCCUUCUGUCUUCUGCAGGCAGGUCCAGGCAAUGCUGGUGUCACUCAGGACCCCAAAUUCCGGGUCCUAAGGACAGGACAGAGCGUGACCCUGAAAUGUGCCCAGGAUCUGGACCACUACUAUAUGUGCUGGUACCGACAAGACCUGGGACACGGGCUGAGGCUGAUCCAUUACUCAUCUGCCACUGGCACCACCAACAAAGGAGACGUCCCCGACGGGUACAGCGUCUCCAGAUCAAACCUCGAGGACUUCCCUCUCACGCUGGCGUCUGCCACCCCCUCCCAGACAUCUGUGUACCUCUGCGCCAGCAGUUACUCCACGGCUCUGCACGGCCAACUCCUCUCUGCACAAAAAGGCAGGGGAGGCCCUGCACCCCGGGACUCAGCAGAGCCCCUUGCAGGCUCCUGGCACCUGGAGCCCUGGAGCCCCGGGUGCCAGGUGCCUGCAGUGUGA